GACGAACGCGGCGGCGUGCCUAAUACAUGCAAGUAGAACGCUGAAGGAGGAGCUUGCUUCUCCGGAUGAGUUGCGAACGGGUGAGUAACGCGUAGGUAACCUGCCUGGUAGCGGGGGAUAACUAUUGGAAACGAUAGCUAAUACCGCAUAAUAGUAGAUGUUGCAUGACAUUUGCUUAAAAGGUGCAAUUGCAUCACUACCAGAUGGACCUGCGUUGUAUUAGCUAGUUGGUGGGGUAACGGCUCACCAAGGCGACGAUACAUAGCCGACCUGAGAGGGUGAUCGGCCACACUGGGACUGAGACACGGCCCAGACUCCUACGGGAGGCAGCAGUAGGGAAUCUUCGGCAAUGGACGGAAGUCUGACCGAGCAACGCCGCGUGAGUGAAGAAGGUUUUCGGAUCGUAAAGCUCUGUUGUAAGAGAAGAACGAGUGUGAGAGUGGAAAGUUCACACUGUGACG
rnacentral:rRNA from 1 species